rnacentral:lncRNA from 1 species
CUUGUUAUUGGCCGUGACACGGGAUCAACUCCCCCCGGCAAUCAGCGCCGUCCCGCCAGGGAUGAGGAGGAAGGUGCGUUCUGCACCCUUUGCUCCAUGCAACAGCUUUUUGGAUCACGCCUGACACUUGUGUGUUAACCUAGUAUUGCUGCCUUUUGCCUGUGUAUUCCCCCGCUCCGCCUUUGGGACUGGCACCGGGAAUCCUUUAGCUCCGUGUCUCUCUCCACGUUGCCCACCACCCAGGCGGCUACCCCGUGUGCGCCUCCCGUCAACUCUGAGCUGCCGUCCAACGGGGAGAGCACCGCCAAACAUGUAGACGCCACAGAAACCUGCAGGAGCCUGGACACCGGUUCGCUUGCUGGGAGUACUGCCGAUCGUUACGCGUUGGACCCGGGACCAGGAUCUGGUUAUCUACACCCUCAGGAAGGUGCUGGAGGAGAAAGUGUCUGGAAAAUAGAGAGGCCCAGCUGGGAGUUCUGUGUAACACACGAGGUCUGGACGUUUCACUGGCUAUC